CCCUUAGAUGUUCUGGGCCGCACGCGCGCUACACUGAUUCAUGCAACAAGUUUUGUCCUUGGCUGAUAGGCCUGGGUAAUCUUUGAACGUGAAUCGUGAUGGGGAUAGAUGAUUGCAAUUAUUCAUCUUCAACGAGGAAUUCCUAGUAAACGCAAGUCAUCGGCUUGCAUUGAUUACGUCCCUGCCCUUUGUACACACCGCCCGUCGCACCUACCGAUUGAAUGGUCCGGUGAAAUCUUCGGAUCUGAGAGAUGUCUGAUUAAUUUCGGACGCCUUUUGGAAAAGUUGUUUAAACCUUACCAUUUAGAGGAAGGUGAAGUCGUAACA
rnacentral:rRNA from 1 species